UGUGUUAAUUGAAAUAUCAGGACA
rnacentral:siRNA from 1 species